rnacentral:piRNA from 1 species
UGAAAGGUGGACAUGUUUUGGGACU